rnacentral:ncRNA from 1 species
CCGGGCAACGGAGAUGGCAUUCCUCCGCGAACCGCCGCGACAGCGGCUGAUGAUGCCUACGCUUGG